CCACCCUGCCCCUUCCUUUUAAUUUAUUCUCUUUCUGAGUUACACAUUUGCGUUGACAGGCUGCUGAUGAGAACUUUAUUUCCAUGGUCUAGUCAAAGGGAGGUAAUUAAAAAUAUCUACUCCUGUUUUUCUGCAUCCAGUUCAGCAAAACACUGGCAGCAGAGGCAAUGCCUAAUACUUCACCCAAUCCAGUGUUCAACUUGCCAUUCAUCAAGGUUGCUAAUAAUCAGGGAGCUCACUUGUAGAAGGAGGAAGGAUCUUUGACACGGGAAAGAAGAACUCCUUGUGCCCUGAUGAGAAGGAGAAGGAUUGCAUGUCUGUUUCCCUUGUGGCUUUUCUUCAUCUGCUGACUAAAUCCUCCGGUAUUUGUGUGCUCAGAGCUUCAGGCAGGGCACUUGAGCACAACGUGCCCGCUUUGGGGAGCGGGAGGAGCAGCGUGCUGCUAACAAGCCUCCUUGAGGUGGAGAGCCCGGGAAGAAGCAGAGCCGCGCGUCUGCCUUUGCUUGUGCAGCUGGAGACCAAGUACCUGGAUGUGUGGUCGUCCUGGGAUUUAGUGAAGGAUGUGGAAAACAAGUGCAUUGGCUCUAUUGGCUCUCACUUCCUGUGGGUAGCCUGAAAAUGGAGCAAGUCGGAAAGAAAUGCAGCUUUUUGGAUCAUUAAAAAUCCAUUUUCAUUAAAAGCGAAGUAUUGCAGUGACAUACUUAUUUAUACAUUCAUUCCCUGUCUGUCUAUGCCUUAUGGGCAGAGUGAGAAGAGAGCCUUUUCAUAACAGUUUUAAAGCCUAAAUGAAAGAAAAGCAUUCUAUUUACCUUGAACUACUUGCAUGGCAUACUUCCACCCCCCCGUAUUGGAUGGCAAUUACUCUGCAUUCUUUCUUUACCACCAGUUUCUUUUGUCCUAUGUAUCAUUUGUUUUUUAUCUAUAUCUUCCACCUAUCUAUCUAUUUCCUCUUUGUGCUUAGAGUUGGUUGCAAAUUAUAUUUGUGAUGCACGGAGCUUUCAAUCUGACUGUCUUGAUAUUAUUUUAUGCAACCGUGACUACCGUAAAAAUUGGCUUUACUGCCUCUUUUGUGUUAUUGAUUCAAGCCCAUUUCAGAAUUAACUUGUUUGGAAUGAUCUGGCAAUGUUAUAUGCCCCAGGUUCUCUCAGUAAAAAUUCAUAUCUCAUAACUAAAUGCAAUAAAAUGUUCAAAUAUAUCUAAACA
rnacentral:lncRNA from 1 species